rnacentral:rRNA from 1 species
GACGAACGCUGGCGGCGUGCCUAAUACAUGCAAGUAGAACGCUGAAGGAGGAGCUUGCUUCUCCGGAUGAGUUGCGAACGGGUGAGUAACGCGUAGGUAACCUGCCUGGUAGUGGGGGAUAACUAUUGGAAACGAUAGCUAAUACCGCAUAAGAGUAGAUGUUGCAUGACAUUUGCUUAAAAGGUGCAAUUGCAUCACUACCAGAUGGACCUGCGUUGUAUUAGCUAGUUGGUGGGGUAACGGCUCACCAAGGCGACGAUACAUAGCCGACCUGAGAGGGUGAUCGGCCACACUGGGACUGAGACACGGCCCAGACUCCUACGGGAGGCAGCAGUAGGGAAUCUUCGGCAAUGGACGGAAGUCUGACCGAGCAACGCCGCGUGAGUGAAGAAGGUUUUCGGAUCGUAAAGCUCUGUUGUAAGAGAAGAACGAGUGUGAGAGUGGAAAGUUCACACUGUGACGGUAUCUUACCAGAAAGGGACGGCUAACUACGUGCCAGCAGCCGCGGUAAUACGUAGGUCCCGAGCGUUGUCCGGAUUUAUUGGGCGUAAAGCGAGCGCAGGCGGUUAGAUAAGUCUGAAGUUAAAGGCUGUGGCUUAACCAUAGUACGCUUUGGAAACUGUUUAACUUGAGUGCAAGAGGGGAGAGUGGAAUUCCAUGUGUAGCGGUGAAAUGCGUAGAUAUAUGGAGGAACACCGGUGGCGAAAGCGGCUCUCUGGCUUGUAACUGACGCUGAGGCUCGAAAGCGUGGGGAGCAAACAGG